AGACGAACUGUCCAAACGUUAUUCGGAAUCACUGGGCUUAGAGGGUGCGUAGGCGGACCUGCAAGUGGGAUCUGAAAUCCCUCGGCUCAACCGAGGAACUGGGUCCCAAACUGCCGGACUAGAGUGAGACAGGGGUAAGUGGAACUUGCGGUGGAGCGGUGAAAUGCUUUGAUAUCGCAAGGAACACCGGUGGCGAAGGCGACUUACUGGGUCUUAACUGACGCUGAAGCACGAAAGCCAGGGUAGCGAACGGGAUUAGAUACCCCGGUAGUCCUGGCUGUAAACUCUGAGUACUUGGUCGGAGGGGCCUCCAUACCUUUCCGGCCGUAGCGAAAGUUUUAAGUACUCCGCCUGGGGAGUAUGGUCGCAAGGCUGAAACUCAAAUGAAUUGACGGGG
rnacentral:rRNA from 1 species